CAAGUGACAACAGGAUCUCUUGAAGCAUCAAUCGCCUUUCUGGAAAAGGAAGCUAAUAAUGUCUGCAGCCAGAGCACCAGCAAAGACAAAGGGGUGGAAAGGCAGACAUAUUCCAAGAGGCAAACACCUGUUCUGGGACCAGUUUACUUAGGCCUGACCAAGGAGGGCCAAAGAGGCCAGUGAGAGAUCAAUAUGAAAAUAAAGUCAACAACAACAACAACAAAAAAAGAAAGUCAACAUAGAGAAAACUAGCUGAGAUAUGGAUACGGCCAAGUUCAGGCAGCAGCUUUGCUUUGUUCUGC